ensembl:misc_RNA Metazoa_SRP Metazoan signal recognition particle RNA
CCUGGGCAUGGUUGCACAUGCCUGUAUUUCCAGCUACUCAGGAGGCUGAGGCAGGAGGAUGGCUUGAGCCCAGAAGUUCUGGGCCGUAGUGUGCUAUGCUAAUCAGGUAUCUACUAAGUUGGGCAUCAAUAUGGUGACCUCCCGGAGUGGGAGACAAUCAGGUUGCCUAAGGAGGGGGUGAACUGCGCAGGUCAGAAAAGGAGCAGGUCAAAACGCCCGUGCUGAUCAGUAGUGGAAUCAUGCCUGUUAAUAGCCACUGCAUUCCAGCCUGGGCAACAUAGCAAGACCCUGUGUCUC